GCGGGCGUAGUUCAAUGGCAGAACUCCAGCUUCCCAAGCUGGUAGCGCGGGUUCGAUUCCCGUCGCCCGCU
rnacentral:tRNA from 1 species